UGCUCAAUGAAUUUUUUAAAUUGCUGUAGUAUAUUGACUAUACAAAGGUAUUGUAAUAAGACUUUAAUUGAGUGCUAAAAGAAUGGACUUUCAAAAAAACUCUAUCUUAAAUUUAAAAAUUGAAUUUAUUUUUAUUUGUGAAGAAACAAUAAUAUAAAUUAGGGACAAGAAGACCCUAAGAAUUUUUAAACUAUUUGUAAAAUAGUAUUUUACAGUAGUUUUUAAUUGGGGCGAUUACGAAAUAUUAGAAACUUUUUACUUUAUUAAAAUGGUCCAUUAUUAAUGAUUAAGUGAAAAAAAUACUCUAGGGAUAACAGCGUAAUAAUUUUAGAUAGAUCUUAUAGAAAAAUUAGUUUGCGACCUCGAUGUUGGAUUAGGAUUCUAAUUUAAUGAA
rnacentral:rRNA from 1 species